AAGAGUGAACUAGCUAACUGAAAUCGCAUAAGACAUACUUUGUUAAGUGCGAUAAGGUAGGGGAAAAAAAUGAUGUUACCUUACUAUUAGUGUUGUCCAAAUCUGGUGCCAGAAGACUCGGUAAGGCCAGAAACGCGAACGUUAAUCGUCCUAAUCAGGCGUAAAGGGUGUGUAGGCUGCUUUUACUAUUUUAAUUAAAAAAGCUCUGAUAGAAUAUAUCAGUUAAUAUGAAAUUCAAUAAAAGCUAGAAUCUAAUAGGGGAUAAGCUAUAGAAUAUUUAGAGUAGGGAUGAAAUCCGUAGAUACUAAAGGGAAUACUCAUGGUGAAAACAAUUAUCUAUUAAAGAUUGACGCUGAGAAACGAAGGUGAGAGUAGGAAAUAGGAUUAGAUACCCUGGUACUUCUCACUGUAAACGAUGAAUGGUAGUUGUUAGUUUUAUUACAAACUAGUGGCGAUGUUAACACGUUAACCAUUCCGCCUUGCGAGUACGGUUGCAAAACUGAAACCAAAAAAAUUAGUCGGUCUCGAAGCAAACGAAGUGAAGCAUGUUAUUUAAUU
rnacentral:rRNA from 1 species